GACGUAGGGCGCGAGCGUUGUCCGGAUUUACUGGGCGUAAAGAGCGCGCAGGCGGUCGUUCAAGUCGCGUGUGAAAGCCCCCGGCUCAACUGGGGAGGGUCACGCGAUACUGAUCGACUCGAAGACAGGAGAGGGAAGCGGAAUUCCCGGUGUAGUGGUGAAAUGCGUAGAUAUCGGGAAGAACACCAGUGGCGAAAGCGCUCUACUGGGCCAUAACUGACGCUGAGGAGCGAAAGCGUGGGGAGCGAACAGG
rnacentral:rRNA from 1 species